UGUGACUUAGUGGUAGAGUGCCUGCCUAGUAUGCAUGAGGCACUGGGUUCGAUCCCCAGCA
rnacentral:tRNA from 1 species